CCCCUAGUCCCACUAGUCUAUCCUCCCAGCCUCUCAGACUGAACUUCCUAGUCCCACUAGACUAUCCACCCAGCCUCUCAGACUGAAUCUUCUAGUCCCACUAGACUAUCCUCCCAGCCUCUCAGACUGAAUCUUCUAGUCCCACUAGACUAUCCUUCCAGCCUCCCAGACUGAAUCUCCUAGUCCCACUAGACUAUCCUUCCAGCCUCUCAGACUGAAUCUCCUAGGCCCACUAGACUAUCCUCCCAGCCUCUCAGACUGAAUCUCCUAGUCCCACUAGUCUAUCCUCCCAGUCUCUCAGACUGAAUCUCCUAGUCCCACUAGACUAUCCUCCCAGUCUCUCAGACUGAAUCUUCUAGUCUCUCAGACUACCUUCCCAGCCUCUCAGACUGAAUCUUCUAGUCUCUCAGACUACCUUCCCAGCCUCUCAGACUGAAUCUUCUAGUCUCUCAGACUACCUUUCCAGCCUCUCAGACUGAAUCUUCUAGUCUCUCAGACUACCUUUCCAGCCUCUCAGACUGAAUCUUCUAGUCUCUCAGACUACCUUUCCAGCCUCUCAGACUGAAUCUUCUAGUCUCUCAGACUACCUUUCCAGCCUCUCAGACUGAAUCUUCUAGUCUCUCAGACUACCUUUCCAGCCUCUCAGACUGAAUCUUCUAGUCUCUCAGACUACCUUCCCAGCCUCUCAGACUG
rnacentral:lncRNA from 1 species